UUCCCCCACCACUACAUUCUUUCUCCCACUCUCACAACUUUUCUCCCACCAUUAUCACACUCCAUAGAAGCCUUUGAAGCCCCAAGAGAAGUAGCAAAGCAAGGGAGAGUGUGGGAAAACUAUAGAGUGAAGGUUGUGCUUCGAGGGUCUGGGCGACAGAAAGUGAAGCCGAAGAAGAAACGACUCCACGCCAGCUUUAAGAACAAUUGAGGUUGAGCAGGCGAUGGAAUGGAUCGGUGUUGAGCGGAUUUCCCUUUUGAUGUUUAUGUAAUGAAACCUUGAGUAUGCAUCUCCAUAUGCAUAACUCACACGUUUUUUCGCUGCAAACACUCUUACUUAUUUAUCAUUUCUACUUGAACUUAUUACUACUUCAUUUUAAUUAACUUUCAA